GAUGAACGCUGGCGGCGUGCCUAAUACAUGCAAGUCGAGCGAACAGAUGAGGAGCUUGCUCCUCUGACGUUAGCGGCGGACGGGUGAGUAACACGUGGAUAACCUACCUAUAAGACUGGGAUAACUUCGGGAAACCGGAGCUAAUACCGGAUAAUAUAUUGAACCGCAUGGUUCAAUAGUGAAAGACGGUUUUGCUGUCACUUAUAGAUGGAUCCGCGCCGCAUUAGCUAGUUGGUAAGGUAACGGCUUACCAAGGCAACGAUGCGUAGCCGACCUGAGAGGGUGAUCGGCCACACUGGAACUGAGACACGGUCCGGACUCCUACGGGAGGCAGCAGUAGGGAAUCUUCCGCAAAGGGCGAAAGCCUGACGGAGCAACGCCGCGUGAGUGAUGAAGGUCUUCGGAUCGUAAAACUCUGUUAUUAGGGAAGAACAAAUGUGUAAGUAACUAUGCACGUCUUGACGGUACCUAAUCAGAAAGCCACGGCUAACUACGUG
rnacentral:rRNA from 1 species